GAGGAAAGAGAGCUCUGCCUUGAUCGAGAUCACCCAGGCGUCGGGGUAGUUGAGCCAGUGGUCUUGCGAUGCCCUCCCUUCGCGCCACCACGUGCACGUGAUCUGGGGUGAGGUGCUCGCCGUCUUCUGUGGUGAACCACUGUCUCAGGGGCCUGGUUCAGAACCUGAAGACUUGAAAAACUGCAAAUACAUACACUUUCCCACUCUUCAGAACAACUGCGUAGAAUGCAAGAGAACAGAGCCACAUUCCGGAACAUCUACCCCUUCCCCUGAGCUGGGGCAGAAAACCAGGCUGGGACAAAGAGAAGAGCCACCUGCCUUGCUGAGGUACAUGCUCCAGAAUAACCCUCCAGGCAUGUCUCCGGAGAAGUUAAUCUCAUGCCAUUCCCCAUGAGGUUCAUGCGUGCAGCUAACUCUACCCUAGGGUGCCCUGUCCUGGUCGGUGAAAUUGGACUGGCAUUGUGGAGCAAUGAGUUUUAGCUGCUGACUGUGUUGCUGCCAUCCCAUAUGGGUGCCGGUUCAAGUCCUAGCUGUUCCCCUUCUGAUCCAGCUCUCUACUAUUGUGCCUGGGAAAGCAGCAGAAGAUGGUCUAAGUAUUUGACUGUCAUUCAUGUAGGAGACUCAGGGAUAUCAUGAGAACAAGUAAUAAGGUUGUGCAAAAGUGUGGCUCACUGAAUGCUGGCACCCUUACUCUGUUACAAUCGAGAUUGAGUUGCAUUCUGCCCUAUAGAAGCUCCCAUUUUCACCUUCAAGGGAAUUCUUCAUCAAGGAUUUCUCCAAUGUCUGAAACAUCUGCAUACUGUGCAAGACAAGCAUGUUGGCUGGAACAUAGGUCUAUCGAGAAAAACAUCAAAAUCGCAGAAAGCAAAUCUUCUGUAAUGUCCCAAGCCUCCAGCAACAUCGCUAAAUUUGCUGGGACCACGAAAGAGUUUCCAGUUCUGUCAGGAAGAUUCCGCUGGCCAGUGACAAUGUUUUCUUCCUGAAGUUUCCCAUUUCUGUAGGUGAAUUCACAUGCCACAUUUCCAUUAAUUAGAUGUGCAAUUGGAAGAGUGGAAGUGUGAAUCCUCAGAGUGUGAACCCCCGAGAGAGCUUUCCUGAGGACAUGUGAACAUUCAACAGUUCACGGCAUCGAGGCCUCCACAGAGGUCCUGUCUCCACUUUCCCUAAUCCACAUUUUUUAAAAUUCCCAGGUUACAACACAUCAAGAUGCGACCUUUUCUUCUGGUCAAUGUGGUAUAGGGAAACGGGAUGAGGUGUGUCCAGCUCUUCUGUCUUAGUAAAGUUACUUUUCAAAUAAAAGAAAAUUCAUGGAUGCACAUUUAUCCUGAAGCAUCUGGUGAACUAGGUCUUACCUGAAACUGAAUCAGAAUGAUUUUUGCAACCUGCUUUCUUAAAAAUGUGCAUUGGGCAUGGAAACACAAACGUCAUCAGCCUGUUGGAACUCAGCUGGUUUCAGUUGGGCAAACAGCUCCAGAUAAGAAAUGUCCUCACUACAAUACCAUUGUCAUUGACCUGUCAUGUUCAUCACAAGAAAAUCAACUGAAAGAGGCAAAUUGACCUUGCCUAGUGAACAAUAGUAAAUGUGAUACACACUGUGUUGCAAAAAUGUCAUGAUCAGGAGAAAUCCUGCUGAGGACAGAAAAAAUGUUAUCAAAAGGGUGGCUACAUUUAGAAGGCUGCAGCUGGACACUGGUGCUCCAACACAGGAAUGAGCCCAAUACAGCCACGUAUUGCUGAACAACAGGGAGACUUUCUGAGAAGUGCAUUCCUGGAUAAUCUUGUCAUUAUGCUAACCUUUAAGAGCAUACUUACAUGAGCCUACCAGGUACUGGGCAAUCACUUGAUGUGGCUUCUUGAUGUAACCGAGAAAUGUAAACAUGAGAUGCAUGAGGCUGCUGCCAGUAUAGCACAACGCUGCCUUAUAGCGGAGUGGAAAGUGAGAGAGAGAGAGACAGAGAGAAAGGUCUUCCUUUUGCUGUUGGUUCACCUUCCAAUGGCCGCCACAGCUGGCACGCUGCAGCAGGUUCACCCAAGCACUUGGGCCAUCUUCCACUGCCUUCCCGGGCCACAGCACAGAGCUGGCCUGGAAGAGGGGCAACUGGGAAAGAAUCCAGCGCCCCAACCGGGACUAGAACCCGGUGUGCCGGCGCCGCUAGGUGGAGGAUUAACCUAUUGAGCCACGGUGCCAGCCGUAAUUCACUUUUGAUAGAUUCAACUAUCAGUGUUUCCUUGUUUCAGUUCAAAUGCAAAUGCUUAUGGAUCCUAGUUUCAUGACUUGGGGGACAGUUAUGUAUAGUAGUUAGGUGCACAGGCUCUGUAUCCAGACUACCUCUCCUGAAAUUCAGGCUUUAUUUUUUACAAGCUGUGAGCCUUGGACAGAUUUACUUUCUUUGUGUGUCAGUUUUCUUACUAUGAAAUGAUGAUAAUAACAGAGCAUGGGAUCUUAAGAGAAUUAGAAUAGUAAAUCCAGACAGUAUUUACAACAUUCAACAAAAUAUUUGAGAAAUAACCCAUGUUUAUUGCAGCUCAAUUCAUGAUAGCUAAGAUAUAGAAUCAACCCAGAUGUCUAUCAACUGAUGAUUGGAUAAAGAAAUUAUGUAUACUGUGAGUACUACUCAGCUAUAGAAAAGAGUAAAAUUCUGUCUUUGGCAACAAAAUGGAUGGAUGUAACUGGAAAACAUUAUACUUAGUGAAAUAAGUCAGUCCCCAAAAGACAAACACCAAAUGUUUUCCCUGUUCUAUGGUAACUUAUAGAGUACCAAAAAUGCAAUGUAUAGGAGGGAAAUUAACACUUUGAGAUUUGAUGAUUGUUUACAGCUCUUGUCUCUACUGUUGAGGAACAGUGUUUUUUCCUUCUAACUAUUUGUUGAACUUUUUAAAAAGUUUUUUAAAUAUUCAUUUAUUUUACUUGAAAGUCAGAGUUACACAGAGAGAGAAGGAGAGGAAGAGAGAGAGAGAGAGAGAGAAAGAGAGAGUGAGAGAGAGAGAGGUCUUCUAUCCACUGGUUCACUCCCCAAUUGCCCACAACGGCUGGAGCUGUGCCGAUCCAAAGCCGGGAGCCAGGAGCUUCUUCUGGGUCUCUCAUGCGGUUACAGGGGCCCAAGGGCUUGGACCAUCUUCUACUGUUUUCCCAGGCCAUAGUAGAGAGCUGGUUAGGAAGUAGAGCAGCAAGGACUCAAACUGGCAUUCAUAUGAGAUGCUGGCACUGCAGGUGGCAGCUUUACCUGCUACGCCACAGCACCAGCCCCAUGAACUCUUUUCUUAGUGUACAGUUAAUCUCAUGAGUAUAGCAUAAACUGAAAAUAGAUCAUUGUAAAAAUUAAUAGAGGGGAUAAGAGAGGAAUGAGGAGGGAGGAAGGGUGGGAACAGGGGCUGAAGGGAAGUAUCACUGUGUUCCUAAAUCUGUAUAUAUGAAAUCUGUUUACCUUAUGGCAUGUGCCAAUGCCAUCUCACUACUCCAAGUGAUCAAUUUCAGUUCACAAUUGAUCAUAAUGAAAGGACUAAGAGUCAAAGGGAGCACAUAAACAAGUCUAGUAUCUGCUAACACCAACCGAUAGAAUAAAUAAAGGGGAGAGUGAUCCAACAUGGGAAGUGAGAUACUCAGCAGACUCAUAGAAUGGCGGAUGUCCUAAAUAGCACUCUGGCCUCAGAAUCAGCCCUAAAGGCACUCGGAUCUGGCUGAAAAGCCCAUGAGAGUAUUUCAGGCAUGGAAAGCCAAGACACUCUGGCAAAAAGAUCUCUGUGAGUGAGAUCCCAGUGGAAAGAACAGGUCUUCAAAGAGGGAGGUGCCUUUCUCUGAAGGGAGGAGAGAACCUCCACUUUGACUAUGACCGUGUCUAAACAAGAUAAGAGUCGGAGAACUCAAGGGGCUUCCAUAGCCUUGGAAACUCAUAACUGGUGCAUAGGGAGAUUACUGAUGCCAUAAACAGGAGUGUCAAUUGGUAAAGUCAACAACAGGAGUCACUGUGCACUUACUCCUCAUGUAGGAUCUCUGUCCUUAACGUGCUGUACACUGAGGCUUAAUGCUAUAACGAGUACUCAAACAGUAUAUUUCACUUUGUGUUUCUAUGGGGGUGCAAACGACUGAAAUCUUUACUUAAUGUACACUAAACUGAUCGUCUGUAAAAAAAAAAAAAAAAAGAAAAGAAAUUAUCAAUUCCCAACUUGACUCUCACUGGGAUUAAACAUGACAAUAGGUCUGAUCUGAUUUCAUCAUCAUUUAAAAAAAAUCAUCUAUUAUUUUUCACUUUAUGUUUCUGUGUGGGAGCAAACUGUUGAAAUCCUUACUUAAUGUAUACUAAGCUGAUCUUCUGUAUAUUAAGAUAAUCGAAAAUGAAUCUUGA